rnacentral:misc_RNA from 1 species
CUUUUAGUCUCAUAGUGA